AGGCGUACUUGGACGCAAAUGCUCCCUCGCACGGAGGAGGCCAGGGGUUCGAGUCCCCUCACCUCCA
rnacentral:tRNA from 1 species